rnacentral:rRNA from 1 species
AUUGAACGCUGGCGGCAUGCCUUACACAUGCAAGUCGAACGGUAACAGGUCUUCGGAUGCUGACGAGUGGCGAACGGGUGAGUAAUACAUCGGAACGUGCCCGAGAGUGGGGGAUAACGAGGCGAAAGCUUUGCUAAUACCGCAUACGAUCUCAGGAUGAAAGCAGGGGACCGCAAGGCCUUGCGCUCAUGGAGCGGCCGAUGGCAGAUUGGGUAGUUGGUGGGAUAAAAACUUACCAAGCCGACGAUCUGUAGCUGGUCUGAGAGGACGACCAGCCACACUGGGACUGAGACACGGCCCAGACUCCUACGGGAGGCAGCAGUGGGGAAUUUUGGACAAUGGGCGCAAGCCUGAUCCAGCCAUGCCGCGUGCAGGAUGAAGGCCUUCGGGUUGUAAACUGCUUUUGUACGGAACGAAAAGACUCCUUCUAAUAAAGGGGGUCCAUGACGGUACCGUAAGAAUAAGCACCGGCUAACUACGUGCCAGCAGCCGCAGUAAUAC